rnacentral:ncRNA from 1 species
GUUUUUGUUCAUGAUAUCAACAUGUGCCCCUGGUGCAGAUCUUGGUGGUAGUAGCAAAUAUUCAAAUGAGAACUUUGAAGAGUGAAGUGGGGAAAUGUUCCAUGUGAAAAUCACUUGGACAUGGUCAGUUAGUUGAUCCUAAGAGAUGGGGAAUCCUUGUAUCAAGGGUGCACUUUGCAUGAACAUCGAAAGAGAAUUAUGUUAAUAUUCCUUAACCGGGACAUGGUGGUGGACGACAAUGUUAGGAAAUAUGGAGAUGUCAUCGGGGGCCUGGGAAGAGUUAACUUUUAUUUUUAACAACCUUCCCACCCUAAAAUCAGUUCAACUGGAGAUAGUGUCCAACAUCUAGAAGAGCACCACACAUUUUGCGAUGUUUGGUGCCCCCUCGAUGACCAUUGAAAAUAUGGAGAACCGAGUACCAUCCAUGCCCGAUCGUACUCAUAUCUACCUCCUUGGAUUUUUCAAUGCCC